UUACGGCCAUAUCACAUUGUAACACCGGUUCUCGUAAGAUCACAAAAGUUAAGCAACGUUGAGCCUGGUCAUUACCUAGAUGGGUGACUGCUUGAAAAUACCUGGUGCUGGA